rnacentral:lncRNA from 1 species
UUAAUAUUACUUUCUAAUAGGGAUUUUCCUAAAACCUUUGUUAACUAUACAAAAAAGAUGAAAAUAGUUUAACGAAAAAAUCAUAAAAAGGUGAAAUGAACUUUAAAAAUGAACAAUACCUUGGUUCUACUUCUGUGGAUUAAAUAGUAGGUGGUUACGUAGCGUUUCUCCAUAGGCAACUUUCGCUAAGGACAUCCAAUAUAUAUAAUUGAUUAAGUUCAUUAAAAUAUAAAAGGAUGCCGAAAAUGAAGAUACUAGUACCACUCCAAUUACUAAAUUCUUAGAAUUUUUACCUUCUAUAGUAAAAAUUGAUACUUUAUUUAUUUUAUAAUU